rnacentral:lncRNA from 1 species
AUGUCAGAGAAGGAAAGUGCAGCUCAGAGACGAGCAGUAACUUGCCCAGGGUCACAUAGCCUGAGAGGGCCAGUGGGAAGGGCUGGUGGGGAAGGUGGGCUUCCCCAGACCCCUCCCCACACCUCUGGACAUCAAACCAGGGCAAUAACACCAUUCCACACUCCUCUGGGCAUAUGUGGAAAGCAGGUGAGAAAAUGAAAGUGUGUGCAGGCUAGGGAGCCAGUGUCCCUGCUCUGACUUGUGUUAAAACCCCAGAGCCACAGAGCUCCUCACCCCAGAGCGUUAGGCACAGAGCUGGGACUAGCUGCCCAACUCCUGGGAGGCCUCUGGACCCACAUGUAAAGGAGUGAGCGGCUCUUCACCUCUCUGGGCCCCGUCCCCUACAGAUAUAAGUGUGGACAGCAGUGGUGUGCCUGUGGCUGGGCUGCUGCGGGAAUCAGGAGACUCCAAGGACAGUGAGGGGCUCCUUGUAAUCAGCUGUGGGCUCUGAAUGCCCACCACUGUUGUUCUGGGUGGUGCAUUUAUUAUUCUUGUCUAUCCUUUUCCUCUAGGGAUGCCUGGCAGGAGCUCAUAAACCAAGAGAUCAAGGUGGCCUUUGCCAAAGCCCUCCAGAGCCCAGCGGGGCCCUGGGGUGUGGGGAGGGCCUUGGCCAGGCCCUGAGGAGCAGGAUGGAGUGGGGCAGGGGCCAGCACCAGCCCAGAGACUCCUGUGCUUGGACACUCCCAGGCCCUCUCCCUCCUCCACUCCCUGCAACAAGCUCCCUUGCUGAGUUCUCUGGCAGCCAACUGGCUCUCAUUAAUAUGUGCCCUAGGGCAAUAGUCACUGAUGCUUUCCUCUGUGAAUCCUACGGGUAAACUUGCCUCUUGACACAGAAACAAUAAAAAACAUAGAAAUAGUCCCUUCCUUUCAUGUUGUGCUUUGUUCUUGACAAACGGUUCUGACUCUCAGAGCUCAUUAUAGAGCUCACUAUUCCUUCCAUCGAGAACGCUGUCCCCGUUGUACAGUCGCGGUGCCCGGGCCCAGAGAGGAGGUCAUCCUCUCCUGUUAUCACUUCUCGAGCCUCUGUUUUGUCAUCUCUAAAAUGGGUUUGGAGAGGGCCCACCCGAGGCUUGAUCCUAACACAGGGCUCCGUCCACAGCAAAUGUUCAGAGCGAGCUUCCUCCUUCCCCGCCUCUCCUCCCUAGCUGGCCUAACCUCUGUGAGGACUGUGUUGAGAGUCCAGGUCUUGGGCUCCCAAGAUCUCAGGGAAGGGUAAGGAGGGGAGUGAUAAUUCCUGGGGUGUUAGGAAAAUGAGACUUCUGUCUUACAGAAAAAAAAA